rnacentral:misc_RNA from 1 species
UGGUUCUGGCAUCGAUGAAGAACGCAGCGAAAUGCGAUAAGUAAUGUGAAUUGCAGAAUUUAGUGAAUCAUCGAAUCUUUGAACGCACAUUGCGCCCCUUGGUAUUCCGAGGGGCAUGCCUGUCCGAGCGUCAUGAACGCCAAUCGAGCCUGUCGUGCUCGGUCUUGGGCCAUGCUGGCGACAGCAGGCCCCAAAGUCAGUGGCGGCACCGUCCGGUCCCGAGCGUAGUACGCACUCUCGCUCUGGGCUCCGGCGGGUCGGCGCCAGCAAACCGUUCUCUGGAACGCUAGGUUGACCUCGGAUCAGGUAGGAAUACCCGCUGA